rnacentral:rRNA from 1 species
AGUGAACGCUGGCGGUAGGCCUAACACAUGCAAGUCGAACGGCAGCACAGUAAGAGCUUGCUCUUACGGGUGGCGAGUGGCGGACGGGUGAGGAAUACAUCGGAAUCUACUUUUUCGUGGGGGAUCACGUAGGGAAACUUACGCUAAUACCGCAUACGACCUACGGGUGAAAGCAGGGGAUCUUCGCACCUUGCGCGAUUGAAUGAGCCGAUGUCGGAUUAGCUAGUUGGCGGGGUAAAGGCCCACCAAGGCGACGAUCCGUAGCUGGUCUGAGAGGAUGAUCAGCCACACUGGAACUGAGACACGGUCCAGACUCCUACGGGAGGCAGCAGUGGGGAAUAUUGGACAAUGGGCGCAAGCCUGAUCCAGCCAUACCGCGUGGGUGAAGAAGGCCUUCGGGUUGUAAAGCCCUUUUGUUGGGAAAGAAAAGCAGCAGGUUAAUACCCCGCUGUUCUGACGGUACCCAAAGAAUAAGCACCGGCUAACUUCGUG